rnacentral:rRNA from 1 species
UACGAAGGGGGCGAGCGUUGUUCGGAAUUACUGGGCGUAAAGGGCGCGUAGGCGGCCGAUCAAGUCAGAUGUGAAAGUCCUGGGCUUAACCUGGGGACUGCAUUUGAUACUGAUUGGCUUGAAUUCGGGAGAGGAUAGCGGAAUUCCCAGUGUAGAGGUGAAAUUCGUAGAUAUCAAGCAGAACACCUGCGGCGAAGGCGGCCUUCUGGACGAUGACUGACGCUGAGACGCGAAAGCGUGGGGAGCAAACAGG